rnacentral:rRNA from 1 species
AGCUAAUACCGCAUAAUGUCGCAAGACCAAAGUGGGGGACCUUCGGGCCUCAUGCCAUCAGAUGUGCCCAGAUGGGAUUAGCUAGUAGGUGGGGUAACGGCUCACCUAGGCGACGAUCCCUAGCUGGUCUGAGAGGAUGACCAGCCACACUGGAACUGAGACACGGUCCAGACUCCUACGGGAGGCAGCAGUGGGGAAUAUUGCACAAUGGGCGCAAGCCUGAUGCAGCCAUGCCGCGUGUGUGAAGAAGGCCUUCGGGUUGUAAAGCACUUUCAGCGGGGAGGAAGGCGUUAAGGUUAAUAACCUUGUCGAUUGACGUUACCCGCAGAAGAAGCACCGGCUAACUCCGUGCCAGCAGCCGCGGUAAUACGGAGGGUGCAAGCGUUAAUCGGAAUUACUGGGCGUAAAGCGCACGCAGGCGGUCUGUCAAGUCGGAUGUGAAAUCCCCGGGGCUCAACCUGGGAACUGGCAUUCGAAACUGGGCAGGCUAGAGUCUUGUAGAGGGGGGGGUAGAAUUCCAAGGUGUAGCGGGUGAAAUGCGUAGAG